GAUGAACGCUGGCGGCGUGCCUAAUACAUGCAAGUCGAGCGAACAGAUGAGGAGCUUGCUCCUCUGACGUUAGCGGCGGACGGGUGAGUAACACGUGGAUAACCUACCUAUAAGACUGGGAUAACUUCAGGAAACCGGAGCUAAUACCGGAUAAUAUAUUGAACCGCAUGGUUCAAUAGUGAAAGACGGUUUUGCUGUCACUUAUAGAUGGAUCCGCGCCGCAUUAGCUAGUUGGUAAGGUAACGGCUUACCAAGGCAACGAUGCGUAGCCGACCUGAGAGGUUGAUCGGCCACACUGGAACUGAGACACGGUCCAGAUUCCUACGGGAGGCAGCAGUAGGGAAUCUUCCGCAAUGGGCGAAAGCUUGACGGAGCAACGCCGCGUGAGUGAUGAAGGUCUUCGGAUCGUAAAACUCUGUUAUUAGGGAAGAACAAAUGUGUAAGUAACUAUGCACGUCUUGACGGUACCUAAUCAGAAAGCCACGGCUAACUACGUG
rnacentral:rRNA from 1 species